UCUCUGGUGUCUCAGAUGGUAAAGAAUCUGCCUGCAAUGCAGGAGAUCCAGGUUCGAUCCCUGGGUUGGGAA
rnacentral:tRNA from 1 species